rnacentral:lncRNA from 1 species
AUAUCAAGAUUUGAGAUUUGAGUCCAGCUACUAUCCUUUUAGGAGAACGGAGAACUACGUCCUUCUAAGUCGUUUUAAAUAAUAGAGAUCCCAAAUCGAUCAUUAGAACUAUUAAAAUUGAUCUAGAGUAUUUAUAAUAUAUAGAAACUAAAUUUCAUACAUUUUAAAAUUCGUUACCAAAUUCAUUGAAGAGUCGAAAAAUAAACGGUUAAAAAUAAAUAACCUUAUGAAAAUAGAUGUCAGACCUUUUCAAUUUAUGAUCGGAAUUAUCAAUCGUUAUCUAAAUAGUAUAAAAAGUUUUCUAUAAAAAUUUCAAGCUGUUCGGAUUGUUAUAUACCGUUUAACAAGCAAACGGCUCAUAUAGGCCAUCAAAAACUGUCAAUUUUGUAAUUCUUUGAUCAGCAGAAAAAUAAUUUUUAAAAUUUAUGAAAUUUAGUUUCUAGAUACUUUAAAUACUCUAGAUUAAUUUUAACGGUUCCGAUCAUCGAUUCGAGAUUCUUAUCAUCUCAAACGAUUUAGGAGGACGAAGGCCUCAUUCUCCCAAAAA